CACAGGGUGGUGAGGUUCGGCCCCCGGGUUUCCGAGGAGAGCGGGCGGGUCCCGGCUCCAAGGGAGUGGACGUGGGCGUCCGGCGCCCCCGCGGGGCUCUUUCCGGCCUUCCGGAGGCAGCGCGGCGCAGAGUCCGGCGGGCGGGCGGGCGGGCGUAGGCGACUCUCCAUAGUGGGCCCUGGAGUCCAGCGAGUUUGCGCGCUGUGCUAGGGGCACUUUUAAAUUUAAUACAGAUGCUGCUGAGUUCAUUCCGCAGGAGAGAAAAAAUUCUGGUCUAAAUUGUGGGACCCAAAGAAGACUAGAUUCUAAUAGGAUUGGCAGAAGAAAUUAUAGUUCCUCACCUCCCUGCCACCUUCCUAGACACAUCCCUUACGAUGAUGUCUCUGCUGUUCACCAGCACGGUUAUGCCUCCGGAAGCAAGCCUAAGAGUC
rnacentral:lncRNA from 1 species